rnacentral:lncRNA from 1 species
GCUUUCGUUCUUUUGUUGCUUCAUUCUUUCCUUGCUUUGCCGUGCGUUUUGUCCAAUUCUUUGUUCAAAACGUCAAGAACCUGGACAAUUUGCAGUCAAGACCUGCUACCGGUAACACUAUGGGAAUGUUUUUCAGUGGAACAGACGGGCCUGGGGGCUCAGGGAAACUCUCCCUAGCCUUGAGAGAUUCACUCAGCCAGAACUAAAAAUGAGGUCAGUGGGGACAGCAUGGAGAUGAGUUCGUCCAGGGUCUGCGGGUGGAAACAGGCUGUCCUGGCCGUGACUUCUGCCUGGACUGAAAGAUGCUCACCCCACAGGGAACCAGGAGGAUCAGUGUCGCUUCCAUCAGCUCAGCCCACCGGUCAAAGCUCAGUGAAUUCUCACCUGCUCUUCUGCUCUAGCUGCUUCCCUGCUGUACUCAGCCCUUACCUUCAACUCCCUCAGCACUCCUCCUCCAGUCUCCCACUCUCUGUAUCACUGGGGAUCAUUCUCAGCUGCUAGGAGCUUGUGGAUGCCUUUGAGAACCUGACGAAGGCUAUGGACAGUCUUCCCGGAGAAAAAAGCACAUAGGGAAUUCUGCCUACAAGUUUAGAAAAUUCAUGAAACCCCUAAAGCUCAUCCUUGGAGCCCACCACUUCCCUGGGCAUCCAUGGGCUCAGGACUGGGAAGGCCGGACCUGUAACCCCAGAAGCCUCUCACACUCCAUCAGGCCUGGCUGCCUGCAGCACACCUCAGCUGGUAGCACCUGCCCUGCAAUGUGCCUGUCCCUCCUCAGGGCAACCGAGAGUCUCAGAGAGCUGUUGUGGGAAAGCCUCAGGCAGAGUUCUGGCUGAGCAGAAGCUCCUGACAAGUGGUUUAAUUCCUUCCCAUGGGGGCACAGUGAGGUUCAGCAAGGCUGCCCAGGGGUGAGAAAGCAGCUGGUGCUGGCUGAUGCCUUAAGGAAGAGAGCUCCAGAACAUGGACAAAGAUGACAGGAUGGAGUACUUUAAAAACCACUUGGAAAUAUGCUUCAGUACUUCCUGCUCUCACUGCAGUCACUACAGCAACCUGCAGGUCUCAAAAGUCCCUCUUUGCUCACUGCCCCUUUCAAUUAGACAAAGUCAUUUUCAUUCUCUGUUUAGUGGGCAACAUGCCUGCGAAUACCGGUGCUUUCUCAGAACGGAGGCUUCUGAAGAGAGUCCCAGCUAUGAACUCUGAAAAGCAGAAGGAAAAUUAUUUUUUCCUCCCCUACCCUGGGAACUCCUGGAAGAUAAGGACCAUCAUCAUGUCGCCUGAAGUAUUUCUCUCCUAGGCCCCCACAGUGUGUGUUCACAAUGGCCUCAUUCCCCUUGCUGGCUAAUGCAGAGCUGGAAGAAGGUAUAUUCAAGCCUUUUCUUGCACAGCAAGGAGGAUGACUAAGGAGCUAAGAGAUGUGAGCCGAAGCCUCCCUCAGUGUCUAUUUGCUGACCCAAUAACCCAUCUUGAGCAUUCCUGAAGUUGGUGAAAACCAGCUCUUCACUUGAUAUAAUCUUGAAUAAAAAAAGAAAGCAUUUCCC